AUGAGAGAGUUUGUCCUGCGAUUCCUCAGAGAAUUCCAGAAUCCCCCUGACAUAUCUGCUUGGCAUUUGGCAGCUGGCUUGGUUUACGCAGUCGGCUUGGGCUUGGAAGCAGCAUACUUCUUAUUUAUGAUUUUCUGUUUUCACGGAUAUACUGGUAUUUCUUCUGACAUUCCUGAUCUUUUCCUUGUAUUGUUAAGCUGA